CAUUUCCAUAGGAGUUCUCCAAGGCUCUGGAAACUCUCUGCAGAGGGAGCAAGGUUCCCCACACAGCUGUGCCUCUGGGCACAGUGCUCCAUCAGCCUUUUUUUUUUUUUUUUUUUUUUUUAAUAUUUAUGUAUGUCUGCAGGCCAGAAGAGGGCAUCAGACCUCAUUACAGAUGGUUGUGAGCCACCAUGUGGUUGCUGGGAAUUGAACUCGGGACCUUUGGAAGAGCAGGCAAUGCUCUUAACCACUGAGCCAUCUCUCCAGCCCUCGAUCAGCCUAUUUUGUCCUUUGCCCCGUCCAAAAGCAAAGCCUAUUGAUCCACACUCACAGGCCACAUGCUUUGUGACAUCUGUGAAGUCUAUUGUCUGAUGGCCCUAGAGACCUCCCCAGCUUUUCUCUGUUUCUGCUGUCUGGUUUUGUUAUUGCACGUUGACACAAGGACUCCUGCGGUUUAAACACGGAACCACUUGCUCUCGGCACCCUGAGCAACCCGGAACAGAGGUGGCAAAUGACUCCUGCAUCUCGCUUCUGUCCAUCUCAGAGCUAAAGUGCAGUCAGAACACUCGCGCGACCUGGGAAAGAGGCUCUCGGGUUUCUCCUGGAUGAAGAUUGCUGCUCUUUGGGAAAGAGCAACAUUUUUCCAAGCUCGCUUCUGACUCUAUCCGCAUUUAGGCAUGGAAUACAGUCUGCGACAGUCUAGGAAACGUCCUGGAGACUUUCUUGUUGGCAGGGUCACUCUGUGUAACUCUGGCUGAUCUCAGUCUCACAGAGAUCCACCUGGGCUCUGCCUCGUGUGUACUGAAAUUAAAAGCAGGCACAGAGCUGUAGAUCAAAGAAUACAAAGCAUUUUAAGACUCCAGCUCCACUGCAUUUCUUAGGCUGCACUGGUAAAUACUUCACACACAGCCUUCAUCUGGAGUGGCAAAAAUUUCCAGUCAGCUGCCUCCGAGAAGCAACAGAGGUGAGAGAGUGUUCACAGAAGAAGGCAAGAGACACUGCUUCCAAACAUGGUGAAAGAUGAAUACUGGAACCCAAAAGUUUGCUCUGUCCUUCAUAUGUGCACUGUGGCAUUCUUCUUCUGACAUUUUGUGACUGAUCCUCAUCCUGAGUUAUGGCCCUGGAAUAAAGCCCUGCUUUCAUAGAGGUUCAAUGGUAUCUUGAAUACGUAAACCCUCUUAGAUCUAAGACCAGCCCAAUACAAUGAACUUUGAGUUCAUGGAGUCUUUUAUUGAAGUUAUGAACUCUGAAAACUAAGAGGUUAACAAUGCAAAGAUCACAUGCUUUACCAACCCAUUUUGCAUUUCCUGGAGAUUAGGAACUGUACUGAGAUAAGUGAGACCAGUGACGGAUUGAAUUGCGAUUGCUUUUCCCACAAGAGAAGAAACUGAAUCAGGCCAGAAAUAAUGUGACAGGCAUGAUGAAUAAGACCGUGAAGAAACUGGAACCCUCCUAAACUGGCUGAUGGGGGUCUGGUUUGACCACCUUGAAAAACAAACAGUCUGGCAGUCCCUUAAAUGAUUAAACACAGACAUUAUGCUCCUCCCGCAGGCUGUCUAUCAAGAAAUAGCUCAGGUCUGAGAGUAAACUCCUGUUGUUAGAAAUAUAUGAAAACAAAAAUCAUAAAACAAUUUCUUUUAAAUCAUCAAAGACUUAACGAUUGUUAUGUUUUCUACAAACACCUAAGUUCCUUCUUCACUUACACAGAAUUAAUUCUCUAUGAGUAUUUGAAAGUUAAUGAUCAUUUUAUUUCACUUAAAAUAUUUCAAACAUGCUGCAGGCACAGGGGCAGGCCAGGAGGCUUGCUAAACAGUGCCUAAUGUUGGCUGUGGAGCCUGACUCCGCCUUUGAAUGCUGGUACGUCCUUUACUUAGUCCCUUAACCUUUCCGUACCUCAUUUCCUCCUUCAUGAAGUGGAACAGCAAUAGCACCUGCUGAGUGCUUAAAUCCCCCAAUAAAUAUAAAGCACUGCCUUAGUUACAGCUUCUAUUGCUGUACCGAGACAGCAUAACCAUGGCAACUCUUAUGAAAGAAAACAUUUCAUUGGGGGCUGGCUUACAGUUUCAGAGGUUUAGUCUAUUUUCAUGGCGGAUGGCAAGCAGGCAGACAUGGUGCUGGAGAAGGAGCCAAGAGUUCAAUAGCUUGAUCUGCCGGCAGCAGAAGUAACUGUGUGUCACAGCCGAGCACUGCUUGAGUAAAGCAGACCUGAAAGCCCACCCCCACUUCCUCCAACAAGGCCACACCUCCUAAUGGUGCCACGCCCUUUGGGGGCCAUUUGCUUUCAAACUACCACAAGCCCUUUCAGGAUAGUGCCCAGCGCCCUGGCUAUUAACUUCUCUGCCUGGAUUUGCUAACUCUGCAUUGGGCCGAAACCAGGAAAUCCCCACAUCUCAGUAACGUGAGGUUACACCAGCUGUAAAUUGUAUCAGUAAAAGAACCCCAAAUGUUGGAGCCUUGGCAAGUUUCUUCAGCACUUUAUGGUGUAAUUGCCUCUCGGAGUAGAAUGACUGCUAUCAAUGCCCCCCAUUUCCUAAAGCCUAUAAAGUUUAAUCUUAAUAAACAUGGCCUAAAACAGA